rnacentral:rRNA from 1 species
UACGAGGGGGGCAAGCGUUGUCCGGAAUUAUUGGGCGUAAAGCGUGCGUAGGUGGUGAGUUAAGUCUGUCGUGAAAGCCCCGGGCUCAACCUGGGAAUGGCGAUGGAUACUGGCUCGCUAGAGUGCGGUAGAGGAGAGUGGAAUUCCCGGUGUAGCAGUGAAAUGCGUAGAGAUCGGGAGGAACAUCAGUUGCGAAGGCGGCUCUCUGGACCAGCACUGACACUGAGGCACGAAAGCGUGGGGAGCAAACAGG